AUUGAACGCUGGCGGCAUGCCUUACACAUGCAAGUCGAACGGCAGCACGGGGCAACCUGGUGGCGAGUGGCGAACGGGUGAGUAAUGCAUCGGAACGUACCUUUCAGUGGGGGAUAACGUAGCGAAAGUUACUCUAAUACCGCAUAUUCUGUGAGCAGGAAAGCAGGGGAUCGCAAGACCUUGCGCUGAUUGAGCGGCCGGUGUCAGAUUAGCUAGUUGGGAAGGUAAAGGCUCACCAAGGCGACGAUCUGUAGCGGGUCUGAGAGGAUGAUCCGCCACACUGGAACUGAGACACGGUCCAGACUCCUACGGGAGGCAGCAGUGGGGAAUUUUGGACAAUGGGGGCAACCCUGAUCCAGCCAUGCCGCGUGAGUGAAGAAGGCCUUCGGGUUGUAAAGCUCUUUCGGCCGGGAAGAAAUCGCACGGGCUAAUACCCUGUGUGGAUGACGGUACCGGAAUAAGAAGCACCGGCUAACUACGUGCCAGCCGCCGCCGUAAUAC
rnacentral:rRNA from 1 species